GAGGGUAUAGCUCAAGUGGUAGGGCGCGUGCUUAGCAUACACACACAAGGUCCUGGGUUCAAUCCCCAGUACCUCCU
rnacentral:tRNA from 1 species